UGAUCCAGCCAUCCCGCGUGUAUGAUGAAGGCCUUCGGGUUGUAAAGUACUUUUGGCAGAGAAGAAAAGGUACCUCCUAAUACGAGGUACUGCUGACGGUAUCUGCAGAAUAAGCACCGGCUAACUACGUGCCAGCAGCCGCGGUAAUACGUAGGGUGCAAGCGUUAAUCGGAAUUACUGGGCGUAAAGCGUGUGUAGGCGGUUCGGAAAGAAAGAUGUGAAAUCCCAGGGCUCAACCUUGGAACUGCAUUUUUAACUGCCGAGCUAGAGUAUGUCAGAGGGGGGUAGAAUUCCACGUGUAGCAGUGAAAUGCGUAGAUAUGUGGAGGAAUACCGAUGGCGAAGGCAGCCCCCUGGGAUAAUAC
rnacentral:rRNA from 1 species